rnacentral:misc_RNA from 1 species
AGUGAGUGGCAAACUUGAAAACCUACACAAACAGAGGGCAAAUAAAAAGGAAUAAAUUAUAAUUCAAAUGACAAACAAAGCUCAAUUACUAUGACAAACUGCAUAGUCCUUUCAUUUUAGUUUAAGAAAUUAUAGGACUUGAGUUCAUCCGUGUUCAAGGGCCAAAACACUUCUUAACUACAAAAAGCAAGAAAUGGAAAAAUCAAUUUGUUCCAAGGAAACAUAUAAUCAGAAAUUGCAAUUUCUCGAGUUCACUUCUUUUGUAAAAGAACUUCAGAGAGCUUAUUGAAGGAACACAUUUUGUUGGAAAUGGAUAACUUUUCAAAAGGUAUAAUAGGAGUUCAUAAGCGAAAUUUUAUGUCGUCCACAAGUAGAUCCUACACCUAACAAUUGAAUUAAAGAAUAAUUGAGAACACAA